rnacentral:rRNA from 1 species
AACGAACGCUGGCGGCAGGCUUAACACAUGCAAGUCGAACGCCCCGCAAGGGGAGUGGCAGACGGGUGAGUAACACGUGAGAACGUGCCUUUUGGUUCGGAACAACUCCGGGAAACUGGAGCUAAUACCGGAUAAGCCCUUCGGGGGAAAGAUUUAUCGCCAAAAGAUCGGCCCGCGUCUGAUUAGCUCGUUGGUGGGGUAAUGGCCCACCAAGGCGACGAUCAGUAGCUGGUCUGAGAGGAUGGCAAGCCACACUGGGACUGAGACACGGCCCAUACUCUUACGUGCGGCAGCGGUGGGGAAUAUUGGACAAUGAGCGCACGCCUGAUCCAGCCAGGCCGCGUGAGUGAUGAAGGCCUUAGGGUUGUAAAGCUCUCUCGCCGAGUACGAUAAUGACGGUACGCGGAUAACACGCCCCGGCUAACUUCGUGCCAGCCGCCGCCGUAACAC